ACACCCCCGGGGGGGGGGGGUUGCCCUUUCAGUGGGACCCAGAGGCCCUGGACGUCACGCCCUCACUGUUGCCCACUGUGCUUGUGUGCCUGCUCUGUCCUGGGCAUCCAGAUGGACCAGACCACACCCACAUCCCUGCAGGGCAUCCAGAUGGACCAGACCAUACCCACAUCCCUGCAGGGCACCCAGAUGGACCAGACCACACCCACAUCCCUGCAGGUGAAGUGAGGCGGCUCCCUGGGAGAGGCCUCGCUGAAGUCAUGGUCAUCCACACCUGGCUCACCUCAAGAGUCUUCCAGCAUACCCUGGGGGCAAGGCCACUAAUGG
ensembl:processed_transcript Gm13587 predicted gene 13587